GAAUUUUGGACAAUGGGGGAAACCCUGAUGCAGCGACGCCGCGUGGGCGAAGAAGGUUUUCGGAUCGUAAAGCCCUUUUCUGCGUGACGAUGAUGACGGUAGCGCAGGAAGAAGUGUCGGCUAACUACGUUCCAGCAGCCGCGGUAAACCGUAGGACGCGAACGUUAUCCGGAAUUACUGGGCGUAAAGGGCGCGCAGGCGGUCGGGUAAGUUAGGCAUGAAAGCUCCCUGGCUAAACCGGGAGAGGCUGUCUGAUACUGCCGGACUGGAGUGUGGUAGAGGGGUGUAGAAUUCUGCGUGUAGUGGUGAAAUGCGUAGAUAUGCGGAGGAAUACCAGUGGCGAAGGCGGCACCCUGGACCACAACUGACGCUGAGGCGCGAAAGCAUGGGUAGCGAACGGG
rnacentral:rRNA from 1 species